rnacentral:pre_miRNA from 8 species
GCUGUCUCCAUGCUGACCGUGGCUUUAGAUUGUUACUGUAGCGUUGGCACGUGGUAACAGUCUACAGCCAUGGUCGCCAAGGGGCAG